GAUGAACGCUGGCGGCGUGCUUAACACAUGCAAGUCGAACGAUGAAGCCCAGCUUGCUGGGUGGAUUAGUGGCGAACGGGUGAGUAACACGUGAGUAACCUGCCCCCGACUCUGGGAUAAGCCCGGGAAACUGGGUCUAAUACCGGAUAUUACCUCUUGCCGCAUGGCAGGUGGUGGAAAGAUUUAUCGGUGGGGGAUGGACUCGCGGCCUAUCAGCUUGUUGGUGAGGUAAUGGCUCACCAAGGCGACGACGGGUAGCCGGCCUGAGAGGGUGACCGGCCACACUGGGACUGAGACACGGCCCAGACUCCUACGGGAGGCAGCAGUGGGGAAUAUUGCACAAUGGGCGAAAGCCUGAUGCAGCGACGCCGCGUGAGGGAUGACGGCCUUCGGGUUGUAAACCUCUUUCAGUAGGGAAGAAGCGAAAGUGACGGUACCU
rnacentral:rRNA from 1 species